UACGAGUGCUUCGAGCGUUAUCCGGAAUCAUUGGGCGUAAAGGGUGUGUAGGCGGGCUUUUAAGUCAGUGGUGAAAUCUCCGGGCUCAACCCGGAAACUGCCAUUGAUACUAUUAGUCUUGAAUUUUGUUGAGGUAGGCGGAAUAAGUCAUGUAGCGGUGAAAUGCUUAGAUAUGACUUAGAACACCAAUUGCGAAGGCAGCUUGCUAAACAAACAUUGACGCUGAGGCACGAAAGCGUGGGGAUCAAACAGG
rnacentral:rRNA from 1 species